CCUACGGGAGGCAGCAGUAGGGAAUCUUCCACAAUGGGCGAAAGCCUGAUGGAGCACCGCCGCGUGGGUGAAGAAGGUCUUCGGAUCGUACAACCCUGGUGUUAGAGAAGAAAGUGCGUGAGAGUAACUGUUCACGUUUCGACGGUAUCUAACCAGAACGCCACGGCUCACUACGUGCCAGCCGCCGCGGUAAGUCUGAGGUGGCAAGCGUUGUUCGGAUUUAUUGGGCUGAAAGGGAACGCAGGCGGUCUUAUAAGUCGAGUGUGAAAGCCUUCGGCUUAACCGGAGUAGUGCAUUGGAAACUGGGAGACUUGAGUGCAGAAGAGGAGAGUGGAACUCCAUGUGUAGCGGUGAAAUGCGUAGAUAUAGGGAAGAACACCAGUGGCGAAAGCGGCUCUCUGGUCUGUAACUGACGCUGAGGUUCGAAAGCGUGGGUAGCAAACAGGAUUAGAUACCCGGGUAGUC
rnacentral:rRNA from 1 species